UACCUGGUUCAAGAAUAAACUCUCCAUCAGUAGAAACAUUUGUGUUAUUUGGUUUAUACAGUGGAGUAUUUGGGGUAUGUUUCGGUGCUGUUGCUAGCGUUCCUCUGAAUAUCGAUGACGAUGUUUGAAAAUCUCUAAUCUUUUCGUGUCCUGAGUUACCAUUUUUACCCGGACAAUGGUAAAGCUUGAUGGGAGCCAAUUUGGGGGCUGCUGUUGCUUCUUUUACCAAAUUUGGUGCCUCCAGAGUCUCCAAUGUAGACAAUGUUCUCACUGUUGAUGAUCAGGAGAUAACAAUUACCGAGUUGUCUUAAUUCACCGUCCGUAUCCAUCAGCGGUUCAUCGUCUUUGUACCAGGUGACAUUUGGCUCCGGUGUCCCAGUUAUCUCCACUUCCAUCAUUACACGUUCACCUGCCUUCGCUAUUUGCGCUUGUAAUCUUUUACCAAAUACUGGUGGGAAGAUGGUCUCUGAAAAUUACUCAUCGUUAGUCGCAGAAUCAAUAUUUGUUUCUUUCAGUCAAUAUUUUUUUUAUGGAUUAAAGCUGUGCAGGUGUAUCUUCCAGCAUCCUUCACAUUCACGUUUCUCAAUUCCAAUCGGACGUGAUUGUGUUGGAAAGUCGUUUUUACAUUGUCCUCUACAUCCUGGCCGUUCUUACUCCACGUUAUUUUCGGUUGGGGAAAGCCUUCGGCUGGGGAGAAUGGAGAAGACCCUCAGGAAGGCAGAAGAAAAUGAGGGGAAGGCAAAGGUAGAAAGUGCAAAUAAAUAAUAAUAAAGGGAAAGAGGUCUAAACAAAUGUAUGAAUAGAAUAAACACGUGAUAAUAAAUAUACCAAAUGUAAGUGGAUGAACUAUAAAGAUGAAGAGGAGAAACAGACGAAUGGGCAGGAGUCGAUGAAAACAAAUAAAAUAUUUGUAACAUCAACGAAAUAAAAUUAAUUGAAUUGAAUAAUUAUUCUGUUCAGAAGGAUUGAAACAUGUUAAAAAUUUUGUUGACUCAUUUACCAUCAAUGACACCUUCUAGGAUGACGUUACUGCCCUGAUCAACAAUCAUUCCAGUAAUUGGUGAUAUAAAUCUUGGGACUGUACUCUUGCGCGUCUGUUUUUGGAUUUUUGGAGUGAUGUCGCUCGUUAUUCUGAUCUU